GGGAGUAGCUCAGUGGUAGAGUCACGGCUUCCCAAGCCGUUGGUCGCGGGUUCGAUCCCCGUCUCCC
rnacentral:tRNA from 1 species